GCAAGUCGAACGCUUUGUCUUUAAUUGAUCUGACGAGCUUGCUCUGAAGUGAUUCUAUUUGACAAAGAGUGGCGAACGGGUGAGUAACACGUGGGUAACCUACCUCUUAGCAGGGGAUAACAUUUGGAAACAAGUGCUAAUACCGUAUAAUACCAACAACCGCAUGGUUGUUGAUUGAAAGAUGGUUCUGCUAUCACUAAGAGAUGGACCCGCGGUGCAUUAGCUAGUUGGUAAGGUAACGGCUUACCAAGGCGAUGAUGCAUAGCCGAGUUGAGAGACUGAUCGGCCACAAUGGGACUGAGACACGGCCCAUACUCCUACGGGAGGCAGCAGUAGGGAAUCUUCCACAAUGGGCGCAAGCCUGAUGGAGCAACGCCGCGUGUGUGAUGAAGGGUUUCGGCUCGUAAAACACUGUUAUAAGAGAAGAACGGCACUGAGAGUAACUGUUCAGUGUGUGACGGUAUCUUACCAGAAAGGAACGGCUAAAUACGUGCCAGCAGCCGCGGUAAUACGUAUGUUCCAAGCGUUAUCCGGAUUUAUUGGGCGUAAAGCGAGCGCAGACGGUUAUUUAAGUCUGAAGUGAAAGCCCUCAGCUCAACUGAGGAAUGGCUUUGGAAACUGGAUGACUUGAGUGCAGUAGAGGAAAGUGGAACUCCAUGUGUAGCGGUGAAAUGCGUAGAUAUAUGGAAGAACACCAGUGGCGAAGGCGGCUUUCUGGACUGUAACUGACGUUGAUGCUCGAAAGUGUGGGUAGCAAACAGGAUUAGAUACCCUGGUAGUCCACACCG
rnacentral:rRNA from 1 species